UGCCGGGUAGACGAAUAGGUAAAGUCCUCCGCCUCUGAAGCGGAAGUCAUGUAGGUUCAAGCCCUACCCCGGCAGCCA
rnacentral:tRNA from 1 species